ensembl:lncRNA
GUAUUUGGCAUAGAAGUUAAAUAAGCAAGGUGACAAUACACAGUCUUGAUAUACUCCUUUCCCUAUUCUGAAUCUAGCUGGGGAGGUUCUGAAAGUAAUGCAUCUAACAAGUGACUGUAAAUGAGUAUACAAGGCUUUUACGAGAUCUGAGGAUGAAGCCCUUGCUAUGAAAGGGGUGGUAAAGAUAAGCAGUAUAGACAAUUGUCCAGAAGACAAGACAAAAGUCAGAAAAGAAAAGGAAGAUAGCAUAGGCCAAAUCACUGAUGAAUAAUGUCUUUGUGUAUUCUGAGAAUUUCAGGUAAACAGGAAAGACAACUGAAGCAAAACUGCCUGGGAUAGAAUAGAAUAGAUUAUAAAUUUUGGUGAACACAGUGGAGCAUAUUCUUAAAGUUAAAAAUUCACAGGCAAGAGGAUACAAUUCAGCCAUUACUCACAAGAUGUUUGCACUGCCAACUGACAAGUAUAGCAAGAUAGUUUAACAGCUUAGUACAUUAUUUUGAAAUCAUACAGCCAGGGUUGAAAAAAACAUUACUACUUAUUAGCUCUCACCUUGUGAAAAAUGUACUGUCAGUUUGGUACAUAAAGAUGUCAUUUUUAAGUUUUGCAGGAAAAUGAAGAAAAAAGUCUCAACACAAUUCCAUACUUUGACUUUUAACACAAGUUAAUGUCAGGUGGCGCAAGUGGUAAAGAAUCCAUCUGCCGAUGCAGGAGGUGCAAGAGACCUAGGCUCCAUCUCUGGGUUGGGAAGAUCCCCUGGGGUGAAAAAUGGCAAUCCACUCAAAUAUUCCGCCGGGAAAAAUCUCAUCAACAGAGAAGCCUGGCAGGCUACAGUCCACAGGGUUGCAAAAAGUCAGAUACAACUACAGUCCACAGGGUUGCAAAAAGUCAGAUACAACUGAGCGACUAACACUUCUUAUGCCUUUAGGUUAAGCAAGGAUUGUUGGUCAUUACCUAUUCCAAAAAAAGUCAUGAAGUAAUCACAUAGGGAAUUAUUUCCAAAGGACAGAAAAAAAGUACCAUAGGUGUCUGAACACAUAAGUCUGUUUAAACUGUAGAAUAUAAGAAAAGACUGCCCUAAAAAUAGUUUUCUGUUU